AGAGUUUGAUCCUGGCUCAGGACGAACGCUGGCGGCGUGCCUAAUACAUGCAAGUCGAACGCUUCUUUUCCGCCGAACUUCGGUUCAUUGGAAAAGAGGAGUGGCGAACGGGUGAGUAACACGUGGGUAACCUGCCCAUCAGAGGGGGAUAACACUUGGAAACAGGUGCUAACACCGCAUAACGCUUUUUCUCGCAUGAGAGAAAGCUGAAAGGCGCUUUUGCGUCACUGAUGGAUGGACCCGCGGUGCAUUAGCUAGUUGGUGAGGUAACGGCUCACCAAGGCAACGAUGCAUAGCCGACCUGAGAGGGUGAUCGGCCACACUGGGACUGAGACACGGCCCAGACUCCUACGGGAGGCAGCAGUAGGGAAUCUUCGGCAAUGGACGAAAGUCUGACCGAGCAACGCCGCGUGAGUGAAGAAGGUUUUCGGAUCGUAAAACUCUGUUGUUAGAGAAGAACAAGGAUGAGAAGAGAAUGUUCAUCCCUUGACGGUAUCUAACCAGAAAGCCACGGCUAACUACGUGCCAGCAGCCGCGGUAAUAAGGGCGA
rnacentral:rRNA from 1 species